GGGCACGACACCGGAGAGGGAGCCUGAGAAACGGCUACCACAUCCAAGGAUGGCAGCAGGCGCGCAAAUUACCCAAUCCCGACACGGGGAGGUAGUGACAAUAAAUAACAAUACGGGGUUCUUUCGGAUCUCGUAAUUGGAAUGAGUACAAUUUAAAUCUCUUAACGAGGAACAAUUGGAGGGCAAGUCUGGUGCCAGCAGCCGCGGUAAUUCCAGCUCCAAUAGCGUAUAUUAAAGUUGUUGCAGUUAAAAAGCUCGUAGUUGAAUUUCGGGGUUAGUAGGUUGGUCAUGCCUCUGGUAUGUACUGGUCUCACUGAUUCCUCCUUCCUGAUGAACCGUAAUGNCAUUAAUUUNGUGUUGCGGGGAAUUUGGACUGUUACUUUGAAAAAAUUAGAGUGUUUAAAG
rnacentral:rRNA from 1 species